rnacentral:snRNA from 1 species
GUGCUCGCUUCGGCAGCACAUAUGAUACAGAGAAGAUUAGCAUGACCCCUGCGCAAGGAUGACAGGCAAAUUCGUGACGUCUUCCAUAUUUAA